AGGGUUCGAUUCUGGCUCAGGAUGAACGCUAGCUACAGGCCUAACACAUGCAAGUCGAGGGGCAGCAUUGGAGUAGCAAUACUCAGAUGGCGACCGGCGCACGGGUGAGUAACACGUAUCCAACCUGCCGCUUACUCGGGGAUAGCCUUUCGAAAGAAAGAUUAAUACCCGAUGGUAUAAAGAGUUCGCAUGUUCUCUUUAUUAAAGAAUUUCGGUAAGCGAUGGGGGUGCGUUCCAUUAGAUAGUUGGCGGGGUAACGGCCCACCAAGUCUACGAUGGAUAGGGGUUCUGAGAGGAAGGUCCCCCACAUUGGAACUGAGACACGGUCCAAACUCCUACGGGAGGCAGCAGUGAGGAAUAUUGGUCAAUGGACGAGAGUCUGAACCAGCCAAGUAGCGUGAAGGAUGACUGCCCUAUGGGUUGUAAACUUCUUUUAUAAGGGAAUAAAGUGAGGGACGUGUCCCUUUUUGUAUGUACCUUAUGAAUAAGGAUCGGCUAACUCCGUGCCAGCCGCUGC
rnacentral:rRNA from 1 species